CAGUCGACUCCUACGGGAGGCAGCAGUGGGAUAUUGCACAAUGGGGAAACCCUGAUGCAGCCAGCCGCGUGNGUGAAGAGGCCUUCGGGUUGUAAGCACUUUCAGUAGGAGGAAGGUAGUGUAGUUAACACCUGCAUUAUUUGACGUUACCUACAGAAGAAGCACCGGCUAACUCCGUGCCAGCAGCCGCGGUAAUACGGAGGGUGCGAGCGUUAAUCGGAAUUACUGGGCGUAAAGCGCAUGCAGGCGGCCUGUUAAGUCAGAUGUGAAAGCCCGGGGCUUAACCUCGGAAUUGCAUUUGAAACUGGCAGGCUAGAGUCUUGUAGAGGGGGGUAGAAUUUCAGGUGUAGCGGUGAAAUGCGUAGAGAUCUGAAGGAAUACCAGUGGCGAAGGCGGCCCCCUGGACAAAGACUGACGCUCAGAUGCGAAAGCGUGGGGAGCAAACAGGAUUAGAUACCCUGGUAG
rnacentral:rRNA from 1 species